rnacentral:pre_miRNA from 1 species
UAGCUUUGUCCUAAGUCAAAAAAUUUUUAGCUUUGAUCAGGUUUGUAGAAAAAUGUAUUAAUAUCUACAAUACCAAAUAAAUGCACUGUAAUACAAUCAAAAUAUAUUCAUGGUGCAUUUAAUGAUUCUCGUUUGAUGAUGUAGAUGUUUGUACAUUUUUCUAUAAACUUAGUCCAAGUUAGACAACUUUAACUUAGGACAAAACUAA